CCGGCGACCGGCGCACGGUGCGUAACGCGUAUGCAACCUACCUUUAACAGGGGGAGUAACACUGAGAAAUUGGUACUAAUACCCCAUAAUAUCAUAGAAGGCAUCUUUUAUGGUUGAAAAUUCCGAUGGUUAGAGAUGGGCAUGCGUUGUAUUAGCUAGUUGGUGGGGUAACGGCUCACCAAGGCGACGAUACAUAGGGGGACUGAGAGGUUAACCCCCCACACUGGUACUGAGACACGGACCAG
rnacentral:rRNA from 1 species